rnacentral:lncRNA from 10 species
CAUGAUUAUUUAAUGUUGAAAGUUUAAUAGCUUCAUAUAAUUGCACAUCAUAUAUAAAGACAUAAUACAAAGCAUUAUAGUUCUGUACACAACAUCUUUAUUAUUUUCUACUUAUCUGCACUUCUCUAGCUAUAAUGCUGUGACUGCUUAUUACAUAGAGGCCUUCAAACCUUAGGCCAAACUUGUGCUUAUUUGUGUUCUGUUUAGCAUCGCCCUCAGUGAUAGCUGCAUAUGCCUGUUUCCAAGCCAGACUAAUAUAUUAGUCACAUAUUCAUCGAAUAUUUAUUUGGCACUGGCUACAUGCUUCAGUAAUACUCCUGGCCUCAAAAAAGAUAAAGAAACGAAGGCAUUGCCCUGCACUUCAGUCUUUAGCAGAGAUACUAUACUGUACUAGGAGUUCAUCAUCAACAAAGAAUGCGACCCUCAGCCAGGACCUAGGAGAUAACUAUGAAUUUGUACUUCUGCUGUCUCCACCAUGCUAUUUAGUGGAGAUGAGGAAAGGACUUAUGAAAAUAUCAAGGUCUCUUGAAAAUUAUUUAAGUGUCACACAGAGUGGGAGAAAAUUUUCGCAAACCAUGCAUCGGACAAAGGACUAAUAUCCAGAAUCUGCAAGGAAAACAAACGAAUUGGUGAGAAAACUGAAGUCCAGAGAAUUUAAAUAACUCUUCUGAAUGCCUGCAGCAAAUCUUGAAGUCCUGAGGCCAACUCCCAGUGCUGUAUUCUGCAUUCCAGAGCACAAUUCGUCGUCUUGGAUAAAUGGUAGUCCAACUUGCAACAUAGACUGCAUCACAUCAUUUGUUAAUGGAACUAUGUAAUAGGAAAGUUAUGGCUGAAAUUAAUUUUGGAAUUCACCUAAUGGAAUUUAUUACUUUGUAGGUAAAAAAAGUGAGGUCAAAAAAAGUUGUGUAAAAUGAAAAGGAAACUGCCUAAAGUAACAGUGUUAGAUGAAUGUGCAUAUUUUAUCAACUAGUUCAGCAUUAGCUAGAUCAUGUAACAACCUUGUCAUAUCUAGGCUCAUCUUUUUGUUUUGAGUUAUUUAAGUGUCAUCUUCUUAACUUUCACUAGAAAUGGUCCUGUAAUUAUCUUUCACCCUACAAUACUAAUAAACAUAUAGUCAAAUAAAGUUGGCAAAACAGGCAGCCUUUAAAAGCAGAGAUGCCUAUUCUCUAUUGCAAUAUUUUUAAAGCCUUGCUUUAUACUGAUAAGCAUGAAAAUCUCAUUUUCUUUCUUCCUUACCACAAGAUGCAUAUAUUUAUCCAAGAAGAUUUUGUCCAGUUUCAUUCUGAGCAGUUUGUAUCAUGAAAACAAUACAUUUGUUUCAUUUUCGAAAUACAAAAUUAUUAUGUUGUCUAUGCUUUUCAAACCAUACAAUCUGUGGAGUUUCCUUUUUGAGAAUCAC